rnacentral:tRNA from 1 species
GAGGGGAUAGCUCAGUGGUAGAGUGUGUGCUUAGCAUGCACAAGGCCCUGGGUUCAAUCCCCAGUACCUCUG